CGGAAAAGUAUGCCGGCAAAGCCCCAAAGGUUCUUCAUGUGGCCUUUAUUGACCUUAAGCAGGCAUUUGAUCGAAUCUCUAGAAAGCAGCUAUGGACAAAACUGGCCGCUACAAAGAUCGAUCGCCGUCUCCUUCAUCUGAUUACCAGCCUCCAUACAAACACCUUUCUGAGAAUCAGGCUAGACAAUAAAGGCCUAGUCUCCAACCCGGUUACCACCACUAGAGGGGUAAGACAGGGUUGUCUAUUGGCCCCAGCAUUGUUUAAUUUUUACAUUAACUCACUGGUGACUCACAUGGCCAAUGAUGCUUUCCACCCCCCCAAAUUAGCAGGCCGAUCUCUGAACGUUCUUCUGUAUGCGGAUGACGCCGCACUUCUUGCCAGAUCCCCUAUUGGACUGAGGAGAAUGUUGCAAGCUCUACAUGAAUACUGUGAUCAGCAUGAGCUCCAACCCAACUAUGCUAAGACCAAGAUCAUGGUCUUCUCUGCCCGACCGAGACUCCAUCGAUGGUCGAUGAACGGGAUCCCCCUGAGCAGGUUAACUGCUUUAAAUAUCUGGGACAAGUAAUACGGUCAAAUAGGUCUUUUCUGGCCCAUAGAGACUAUAUAACAACUAACGCAUCUAAAGCAGCCAUCCAGAUUAGAUCUCUAUAUGCUAAGAAUCAGGCUCAAUCAGUCAAGAUAGCUUUGAGACUCUUUCAAAUGAAAGUCCUCCCCUUCUUUUGGUGGGCAUCUCUUUAGGCUCCCGUAGGGAUUUUUUGAAACUGGAUUCUAUCCAAAUGCGAUUCCUUAGAGCCAUCCUUAGGAUUCCCCCCUCGGUAGCGGGUGCGGUUAUGAGAUUAGAGGUCGGCUGGCAAGCUCUACGGUAUGUGGCCUUGAAGACGAAGCUCUGGCUAUGGCUCAAGCUUUGUUUUAAACCAGUGGGUAUUGCCCCCUUGAUAUUGAGGGACGAUUUCCAAUCAUCGUGGGAAAGGGAGGUCAUUAAUGAGGUUCAAUCCUGCGGAUUGUCUCACCUUUACUUUGAGUCUAUGACGUACAAUCAAGCUAGAGCUGUGAUCUCCCGGAGACUGAGUGACAUUGCCAGACAAGAGGACAUAGCCCAGGUAAAACCAGGGAUGUUCCUAGGGGACCAGAUUUAUCGGACCAUACCAGCCCCCUACCUUGCAGAAAUCCACUAUGUGGAAUACCGUAGACUUCUUACAGCGGCUAGAUUAAAUGUCCUUGACUCUGCGAUAUUGUGGGGAAGGUACAGGGGAGUACCAUACGCCCAGAGAACCUGUCAUUGUGCCAUGGGUGUGGUUGAGUCCACCGAACACAUUCUCUUGACUUGCCCUUCUUAUGCAGAGCUUAGACAAAAUUUUAUAGACCCACUCCUAUGUCAAUUCAGCUUCCUACCCGGAGAAAACCAGGUUUUACACUUGCUGAAUAACGCCACUAGAGCUAUACCUUCCUUGGUGGCCAAAUUUCUCUUCUUAGCUUUUAAGCGUCGCAAGACUAUAAUUGACUGUAUUGAUAUGGGGCUAUCUGUUUAGCCCAUUUUAGUGUUGGCUAAGUUUUAAAAUCUUCCUGGAUGUUUUUAACUGUGUAUUGACAAAAUGUACUUUUUUCUGACUGACGGUCGAAUAAAAAGGAUGAUGAUGA